rnacentral:rRNA from 1 species
CAGCCGCCACGGGAAUACGAAGGGGGCUAGCGUUGCUCGGAAUCACUGGGCGUAAAGCGCACGUAGGCGGAUCGUUAAGUCAGAGGUGAAAGCCUGGAGCUCAACUCCAGAACUGCCUUUGACACUGGCGAUCUCGAGUCCGGAAGAGGUAAGUGGAACUGCGAGUGUAGAGGUGAAAUUCGUAGAUAUUCGCAAGAACACCAGUGGCGAAGGCGGCUUACUGGUCCGGUACUGACGCUGAGGUGCGAAAGCGUGGGGAGCAAACAGGAUUAGAUACCCCUGUAGUCCCUGUCUCUUAUAC